rnacentral:lncRNA from 1 species
GGACAAGGCUUCUCUUCAAGCCCUUCUGGCUCUGCUGCUUCCUGCUAUUCUGGAAAAUGGUACCCUAGCUUGAAGCUCUGUGUCCAGUCCAGUGCACACUUGCUGNCUUUUUCAAAUUGUUCAUAAACAGUGCACCUGUUCCUGUGGCUUUACUAUGAAGACGACACAUGGAAAUUUAGCAGAUAUUUGUGUGGGGAUAGAGAUGCAGAGACAGA